GAUGAACGCUGGCGGCGUGCCUAAUACAUGCAAGUCGAGCGAACGGACGAGAAGCUUGCUUCUCUGAUGUUAGCGGCGGACGGGUGAGUAACACGUGGAUAACCUACCUAUAAGACUGGGAUAACUUCGGGAAACCGGAGCUAAUACCGGAUGAUAUUUUGAACCGCAUGGUUCAAAAGUGAAAGACGGUCUUGCUGUCACUUAUAGAUGGAUCCGCGCUGCAUUAGCUAGUUGGUAAGGUAACGGCUUACCAAGGCAACGAUGCAUAGCCGACCUGAGAGGGUGGUCGGCCACACUGGAACUGAGACACGGUCCAGACUCCUACGGGAGGCAGCAGUAGGGAAUGUUCCGCAAUGGGCGAAAGCCCUACGGAGCAACGGCGCGUGAGUGAUGAAGGUCUUCGGAUCGUAAAACUCUGUUAUUAGGGAAGAACAUAUGUGUAAGUAACUGUGCACAUCUUGACGGUACCUAAUCAGAAAGCCACGGCUAACUACGUG
rnacentral:rRNA from 1 species